GACGAACGCUGGCGGCGUGCUUAACACAUGCAAGUCGAACGGAAAGGCCCUGCUUUUGUGGGGUGCUCGAGUGGCGAACGGGUGAGUAACACGUGAGUAACCUGCCCUUGACUUUGGGAUAACUUCAGGAAACUGGGGCUAAUACCGGAUAGGAGCUCCUGCUGCAUGGUGGGGGUUGGAAAGUUUCGGCGGUUGGGGAUGGACUCGCGGCUUAUCAGCUUGUUGGUGGGGUAGUGGCUUACCAAGGCUUUGACGGGUAGCCGGCCUGAGAGGGUGACCGGCCACAUUGGGACUGAGAUACGGCCCAGACUCCUACGGGAGGCAGCAGUGGGGAAUAUUGCACCAUGGGCGGAAGCCUGAUGCAGCAACGCCGCGUGCGGGAUGACGGCCUUCGGGUGGUAAACCGCUUUCGCCUGUGACGAAGCGUGAGUGACGGUAAUGGGUAAAGAAGCACCGGCUAACUACGU
rnacentral:rRNA from 1 species